rfam:Laccaria amethystina LaAM-08-1 unplaced genomic scaffold K443scaffold_2, whole genome shotgun sequence.
GGUGCUAUAGUGUAGUGGUUAUCACUCGGGAUUUUGACGAUGAACAUGUUCCCGAAACCCAGGUUCGAGCCCUGGUAGCACCU